UCAGGAAAUGUCGCAUGAACCGCAUUACAAAAUAUCCACAUUCAAAAUCCCCAACUUGUUUCGGGCCCUACAUACAAAAAUGCCAUAAUACCAUACACAUUCACCAAUACUAAUAGUAUUAAUAGGAAGUUGUUAAGAAAUUAUUUAUUUACCUUAGGGUAAUGCCAUGUAAGUUGAAUUUUUUUUCCUCCAUUCACCAUAAGAUGUGAUGUAAUCCCUCUUCAUAAAAAAUAAUCAAGUCAUAAAACUAUACAAAACACACACACACUUAGAAACACAUUUAUGAACUUACGUGUUCACAAGUGCCCUUGUUCCCCCACUAGGUCCACAAUGUGAAGAAUCUAGAUAAUAAACAUCUUUUGAAUUUAUAUCAAUCAUAAUCAAAGACCAAUGAAACCUGCAUUUUUAAAUCAAAGUAAAUUAUUAUAAAAUUAAAAAUUAAAUGUUUAUGAAUAUAUAUAUAUUAACCAACACACUUACCCUUUGGAGUAAGGAAGUAAAAUAAUUUGGUUCCCUUGACGAGCCUUCCGUCUAUCCGCAAUAGUAUGAUGCAUCUGACUACUAAUAAUGUUUGCAUCAUCAAACUGAUUCACAUCACCAGGAU
rnacentral:lncRNA from 1 species